UCAGAGGGGGGUAGANUUCCACGUGUAGCAGUGAAAUGCGUAGAGAUGUGGAGGAAUACCGAUGGCGAAGGCAGCCCCCUGGGAUAAUACUGACGUUCAUGCCCGAAAGCGUGGGUAGCAAACAGGAUUAGAUACCCUGGUAGUCCACGCCCUAAACGAUGUCGAUUAGCUGUUGGGCAACUUGAUUGCUUAGUAGCGAAGCUAACGCGUGAAAUCGACCGCCUGGGGAGUACGGUCGCAAGAUUAAAACUCAAAGGAAUUGACGGGGACCCGCACAAGCGGUGGAUGAUGUGGAUUAAUUCGAUGCAACGCGAAGAACCUUACCUGGUCUUGACAUGUACGGAACCUUCCAGAGACGGAAGGGUGCCUUCGGGAGCCGUAACACAGGUGCUGCAUGGCUGUCGUCAGCUCGUGUCGUGAGAUGUUGGGUUAAGUCCCGCAACGAGCGCAACCCUUGUCAUUAGUUGCCAUCAUUAAGUUGGGCACUCUAAUGAGACUGCCGGUGACAAACCGGAGGAAGGUGGGGAUGACGUCAAGUCCUCAUGGCCCUUAUGACCAGGGCUUCACACGUCUUACAAUGGUCGGUACAGAGGGUAGCCAAGCCGCGAGGCGGAGCCAAUCCCAGAAAACCGA
rnacentral:rRNA from 1 species